rnacentral:tRNA from 1 species
AUUUAUGUAGUUUAUUUAAAAACAUUUCAUUUUCAAUGAAAAAAUAAGUUAUUCUUCUUAAAUA